AAAGUGAGCCACUUAGAAGUUAAAAAUUUGCUCAACGUUUCCUGACUAGUUAUGGGUGAAAUCUGGGUUCAAACCCAGGCAACUGGCUCCAGAGUCUAUACUAUCCAAACUGAACAGGUGUCAAGAUGACUGGAGCCUGGGCACCUGCAACACAUCCUCUCCUGAAAACUCAGAGGAAGCUUUUGACAUGAAAAAUGAGACCAGAGUCUAUGUUCACAGCAAGAAACAAGGAAGUCAGAAGAAAGAAGAAGAAGGGAGUCACUCCUGAGCCUUCUUGGUCCCUGUCCUCUCCCAGCUUUUCAGUUGAUGCUGUGUGACAUGAGGCUUCUUUUCCACUUUCCGAGGCAUUUGGAAGAGACAGAAAUCUUGACCUUUAAAUUCAACAGUUUAGAAACACAAAGUCCUAU